UACAGAGGUGCCGAGCGUUAGGCGGAAUCACUGGGCUUAAAGCGUGUGUAGGCGGAUGCCUAAGUACCUUGUGAAAUCCCCCCGGCUUAACCGGGGAACUGCUUGGUAUACUGGGUGUCUUGAGCCACUUAGGGGGCGACCGGAACAAACGGUGGAGCGGUGAAAUGCGUAGAUAUCGUUUUGGAACGCCAAUGGUGAAAAACAGGUCG
rnacentral:rRNA from 1 species